UACGGAGGGUGCAAACGUUGCUCGGAAUCAUUGGGCGUAAAGCGCACGUAGGUGGCUUGUUAAGUCGGGUGUGAAAUCCCUGGGCUCAACCCAGGAAGUGCACUCGAAACUGGCGAGCUUGAGUACUGAAGAGGGUCGCGGAAUUCCCGGUGUAGAGGUGAAAUUCGUAGAUAUCGGGAGGAACACCAGUGGCGAAGGCGGCGACCUGGGCAGAUACUGACGCUGAGGUGCGAAAGCGUGGGGAGCAAACAGG
rnacentral:rRNA from 1 species